rnacentral:lncRNA from 1 species
ACCGGCUUCAUUGCAUUCCUGCCACGAGCUGUUAUCUGCAUCUGCAAAGGCUGGACGAUCAGCCAGAGCUCCACGUGCAGUCACAUCCUGCCUCGCUCUGCCCUUCUCUCACUGCACCGAGGUGUGGUGUUACACCAGAAACUCACAUUCACAGAAACGCAGCGCUGGCCGAUUCCUAGAAGCAGCAGUCACAUCUCACGCUACAGCAGAAUUUCUUAUUCAGGGGCAGGAAGGAGUCAUCGAGUUCAGAAGCAUUGCUCUCAGCAGGAGAUGUUGGCUUGCAGCUUGGUACAGCCACAGAUUAGCAAGAGAUAUGGGAGAGAUUGCGAUGGCUUUCCACCAAAGGAGCACAGAAAAUGCAUGGGAGCUCCUCACGUGGGACGCUGACAGCCUGAAGGCAGCAGGGCAUGGCCCUGCAAGGCAGCAACCCCAAAGCAGGCACGGCUUUGCCCUCCCCCACUUCCCAACGUAAUCAUAAAGAGUCAUUGUCCUGCAGCAG